rnacentral:rRNA from 1 species
UCCGUAGGUGAACCUGCGGAGGGAUCAUUACCGAGUGAGGGCUUCGGCUCGACCUCCAACCCUUGUGUUGACCAACACCUGUUGCCUCGGGGGUGACCCGGCCCCGGCCAUCGCACCGGGAACGACGUAGCCCCCGAUGGACCUUAUGAACUCUGUAUCUCUGUGUCGGAGUAUAUUGCAAAUCAAUUAAAACUUUCAACAACGGAUCUCUUGGUUCUGGCAUCGAUGAAGAACGCAGCGAAAUGCGAUAAGUAAUGUGAAUUGCAGAAUUCAGUGAAUCAUCGAAUCUUUGAACGCACAUUGCGCCCUUUGGUAUUCCGAAGGGCAUGCCCGUUCGAGCGUCAUUAAACCCACCCAAGCCUGGCUUGGUAUUGGGCGGCGGGGUGUCCCCGCGCCUCAAUCUCACCGGCGAGAUUUUUCGAUCGCAAGCGUUAUGGUUCUUCAACGCGCGAAGCGAUUUCGAUGGAUCUCGGCCGUUAAACCUUUCAAUCAAGGUUGACCUCGGAUCGGGUAGGGAUACCCGCUGAACUUAAGCAUAUCAAUAAGCGGAGGA